rnacentral:rRNA from 2 species
CUGCGGAGGAUCAUUACCUAGAGUUGCGGGCUUUGCCUGCCAUCUCUUACCCAUGUCUUUUGAGUACCUUACGUUUCCUCGGCGGGUCCGCCCGCCGACUGGACAAUUUAAACCACUUGCAGUUGCAAUCAGCGUCUGAAAAAACUUAAUAGUUACAACUUUCAACAACGGAUCUCUUGGUUCUGGCAUCGAUGAAGAACGCAGCGAAAUGCGAUAAGUAGUGUGAAUUGCAGAAUUCAGUGAAUCAUCGAAUCUUUGAACGCACAUUGCGCCCCUUGGUAUUCCAUGGGGCAUGCCUGUUCGAGCGUCAUUUGUACCUUCAAGCCUUGCUUGGUGUUGGGUGUUUGUCUCGCCUCUGCGCGUAGACUCGCCUCAAAACAAUUGGCAGCCGGCGUAUUGAUUUCGGAGCGCAGUACAUCUCGCGCUUUGCACUCAGAACGACGACGUCCAAAAGUACAUUUUUACACUCUUGACCUCGGAUCAGGUAGGGAUACCCGCUGAACUUAA